ensembl:miRNA Mir3591 microRNA 3591
GUAGACGGAUAGCCUAGCAGUAGCUGUUUAGUGUGAUGAUGGCGUUUGAUGUUUUGGACACAAACACCAUUGUCACACUCCAGAGCUCUGCUAAGGAGAGUCUGUAGGC